rnacentral:lncRNA from 1 species
GCAAAAGUAAAAUGCCCCAAGGGAUGAAGAAAUUAUGAUAUGUAAAUGUAUAGAAAUGAUUUGUAGAAAUUACAAAUUGGUGUUUAAAAUCAUUUAAUGAUAAUGAAAAUGGUUAAUGGUAAAUUAUAUAGUCAAUGAGUAAUUCAGAGUCUGAUAUAUUUUCCAAACACAAAAAUCUUGAACAGCAUUAUAACCAAUAUUUAUCUCUAUUGUGUGAUUUUAAAGACAUCUUCAUUAUCUUCUUUAUAAUUUUCAUAUUGUCCAACUUUUCAAUAAUCAAUAUGUAUGAUUUUACAAUCAGGAGAAAUAAAGCAGUCACUGAUUUUUCUAAAAAUUUAUAAAAUGGAAAAUGUAAAACAGCAUUACCUCCAUCGAGUUUUACUCUCUGAAAAAUAUUAAUUUAUCCUUAGACUAUGUAAUUUAAAAAACAUAAUAAAAUAGAAACAAGUAAAUUUCAUUUGGAUGCAAGGAAAAGUAUUCUUGUUAAUGAUAAAACAAUGUCAUCCACUAAAAUAACAAGGUUAAGGACUUAGAGGUAUCAAAUGGCCAGACAGAUAUAGAUAAUUUCUGAAUGAUAACUCACAGCUUUGGUUACUUUUCUUUGGUAAACAUGAUCAUAGGCACAAAGGUUCUGGUGAUUCGUGUGCUUUUUUUUUUUAAUGAGUUUGUAUUUUAGACUUUGUAGGUUGCUUUUCAUACAUUAUCUCUUAAACUGUGAGAAAGGUAUUUUUACCAUUGAUAGAGGCAGGAGACAGGCAAAUGCCUAGGAAAUAGGGAAGGGCCCCCGGGAGAACCUCUGACCUGCUCCGCAAGUAUUCACACCAGAUGUUUUUGUGCAGAUAAAGGAACCAGUGCAGGGUCUUGCCUGGGCAUGCCCACAAUGAACCGGAGGCGAACAUGCACUGGAGGAAUGGGGUAGAGCCACCAGGAAUUUGUGCUGUAUACUGGGGAGGAGCCUGGCCUCAUCAACUCCUGUGUGGUGGCCUGGAAUUCAAUUUGUGAGGUGGAAACCUGAGUGCAGGACUGCUCUUUUUGUUGAGAGCUUUCCUUUUGCUUAAUAAAUUCUGGGCCGGGCACUUUGGCUCACACCUGUAAUCCUAGCACUUUGGGAAGCCAAGGCUGGCGGAUCACCUGAGGUCUGUUAGGUCCAUUUGUUCCAAGGUGUAGUUUAAAUCUAUUGUUUUUUUUUUUUGACUUUCUGUCUUGAUAAACUGUUUAGUGCUUGGAGCCUUUGUUCAUAUUUUCUUAUUCUUUUUUCUUUUCUUUCUUGUAUUGGGUUAGUUCGAAGUCCUUGUCUUCAAACUCUGAAUUUCUUCUACUUGUUCAAUUCUAUUGCUGAGACUUUCCAGAGCAUUUUGCAUUUCUAAAAGUGUGUCCACAGUGUCCUGAAUUUUUUAUUGUUUUUUUUCUUCAAACUAUCUAUUUCCAUGAAUAUUUCUCCCUUCACUUCUUGUAUAAUUUUUUGGAUUUCCUUGCAUUGGGCUUUGCCUUUCUCUAGCCCCUCCCUGAUUAGCUUAAUAACUAAGCUUUGAAUACUUUUUCAGGUAAAUCAGGGAUUUCUUCUUAGUUUGGAUCCAUUGCUGGUGAACCAGUGUGAUUUUUGGGGGGUACUGAAAAGGCUUGUUUUGUCAUAUUACCAGGGUUGUUUUUCUGGUUCUUUUUUGAGGGAGGAGAGAGACCCUCUCAUAUUGUUUUAUAUUGUUUUAUACUCAGUACCUGUUUUAAGAAAAACAACAAGGAAGUAAAACCAAAGACAGGCAGCCUGGCACCAGGCCUGAAACCAGGCCUGGGCCUGCCUCGCCUAAAUCCAGUAGUUAAAAAUCAAUUCAUAACUUAGAAACCGAUGUUAUUCAUAGAUUCCAGACAUUGUAUAGAAGAGCAUUGUGAAACUCCCUGCCCUGUUCUGUUUCUCUCUGACCACCCGUGCAUGCAGCCCCUGUCACGUACCGCCUGCUUGCUCAAAUCAAUCACGACCCUUUCAUGUGAAAUCUUUAGUGUUGUGAGCCCUUAAGAGGGACAGAAAUUGAGCAUUCGGGGAGCGCGGAUUUUGAGGCAGUAGCUUGCCGAUGCUCCCAGGUGAAUAAAGCCCUUCCUUCCAUAACUCGGUGCCUGAGAGGUUUUGUCUGCAGCUCGUCCUGCUACAUUCUCAUUUGGUGGGGAACUGAGAUUCAAGACAACUCCAGCACCUUGGAGGAACUGGCCAGUAUAUCAAGAAAAGCCUCUGGCAUGGUCAAUAAGGAGCCAGCAUAAAACCAAACAUUACAAGACACACAAAGAAGCAAAGAAAUGUGACUCACAUUCAAGAAAGGAUGCAAGCCCAGAUAUUUCCUAGAUAUUGGAAACAUCUGACAAGGACUUCAAAAUAACUAUGGCAAUUAUGUUAAAUAAAGUAUGUAAAAACACAGGAGAAAAUGGGAACUUUUAGUACAUAUAUAAUCAUGAUAAAAAAAAACCCAAAUGCAAAUGUUAGAAAUAAAGAAUGAGCCAUCAGAAAUAAAACAUUCAUCAGACGGGCUUACAUUUGACAAUAUCAAGUAAUAGCCAUUAUUUAUGAUGAUAUAAUACAAAAUAUAUUAUUAUAGUCACAAAAAAGGGACAAGCAAAAAGACCUAGUGCCUGAGAAUUUUCAAAAAUUGAAGAAAGAUAUCAAACCAUAGAUUUUGGAAGCUUAGCAAACCUCAGUGAGGAUACAUUAGCAAUAGCAACAACAAAACACAAAAAUCUAUCAGAGUGAAGAAGUAAAAAAACAAAAUAGGAGAAUGCUACCAACUUUCUUGGGUUAUUAUUUGACUACCCAGCUUUUAAUAUUCUUAAGUUUUAAUUUUAUGUCUUGUAAACAUUAAAUACUUAAGUUUCUUUUUCCAAAUCAGAAACUACAGGUUGGCAAACUACCCUAAACCUGGCCUGCCUGCAAUUUCUUAUGUGUGUGAGCAUGAAAUGGUCUUCACAUUUUUAAAUGGGUGAAAAUAUCAAAAGAAGAAUAAGAUUUUAUGACAUAUGCAUUUGGAAUCAAAUUUUAGGGUUCAUAAAUACAGGUUUAUUGGAAGGCAGUUUUCAUGCACGUCCCUGUGAAGAGACCACCAAACAGGCUUUGUGUGAGCAAUAAAGCUUUUAAUCACCUGGGUGCAGGCAGGCUGAGUCUGAAAAGAGAGUCAGUGAAGGGAGAUAAGGGUGGGGCUGUUUUAUAGGAUUUGGGUAGGUAAAGGAAAAAGGGGGGUUGUUCUCUGGCAGGCAGGAGUGGGGGUCACAAGGUACUCAGUGGGGGAGCUUUUGAGCCAGGAUGAGCCAGCAGAAGGAAUUCACAAGACAGUGUCAUCAGUUAAGGCAGGAACAGGCAUUUUCACUUCUUUUGUGGUGGAAUGUCAUCAGUUAAGGCAGGAACCGGCCAUCUGGAUGUGUACCUGCAGGUCACAGGGGAUAUGAUGGCUUAGCUUGGGCUCAGAGGCCUGAAAUUCCUGUCUUCUUAUAUUAAUAAGAAAAAUAAAAUGAAAUAGUGGUAACGUGUUGGGACGGCAAAAAUUUUUGGGGAUGGUAUGGAGAGAUAAUGGGAGAUGUUUCUCAGGGCUGCUUCUAGCAGGAUUAGGGGCGGUGUGGGAACCUAGAGUGGGAGAGAUUAAGCUGAAGGAAGAUUUUGUGGUAAGGGGUGAUAUUGUGGGGUUGUUAGAAGAAACAUUUGUCAUUUAGAAUUAUUGGUGAUGGCCUGGAUAUGGUUUUGUAUGAAUUGAAAAACUAAACAGAAUAAGAGAAGGAGAAAAACAGGUAUUAAAGGACUAAGAAUUGGGAGAACCUAGGACAUCUAAUUAGAGAGUGCCUAAGGAGGUUCGGCAUAGCCUUGCCAGCAAAGAUUAUUUAUUUACUUUAAGAGUUAAGAGUGGGAGUUUGGGGAUAGCACCAGGAGAUAUCAGCUGUGAUGGCUUGGAGAAACAGUGUAAACCGGCAGUGUAAACAAGAGCAGGGCAUGUAUGAGUAGUUGAGAAUGGUGAAUAGGAGUAUGACUAGACAGAAGACAGUAGGGAUGACAAGUUUUGGGGGCACAGUCUAAGUUGGUCUGGUGUCUGGAAUGAGACUGGGGCCUAAUAAAAAGGAGCAUCUAUACGGGAGCUUAAAUGGGCUGUACUUUGUAGCAUUCCGAGGACAGGUCUGAAUUCUGAGAAGGGAAAGUGGUAAAAGUAUUGUCUAUUCCUUUUUAAGUUGGUGGCUGAGCUUGGUGAGGUGUGUUUUUAAAAGACCUUUAGUCUGUUCUACUUUUCCUGAAGACUGAGGACUGUAAGGGAUAUAAAGGUUUCACUGAAUACUAAGAGCCUGAAAAACUGCUUGGCUGAUUUGACUAAUAAAGGCUGGUCUGUUAUCAGACUGUAUAGAGGUGGGAAGGCUAAACUGAGGAAUUAUUUCUGACAGAAGGGAAGAAAUGACUGCGGUGGCCUUCUCAGACCCUGUAGGAAAGGCCUCUACCUAACUAGUGAAAGUGUCUACCCAGACUAAGAGGUAUUUUAGUUUUUGUGACUCGGGGCAUGUUGAGUAAAGCUAAUUUGCCAGUCCUGGGCGGGGGCAAAUCCUUGAGCUUGAUGUGUAGGGAAGGGGGGAGGGGGCCUGAAUAAUCCUUGAGGAGUAGUAGAAUAGCAGAUGGAAUACUAAAAAUUUAUUUCCCUGAGGAUAGAUUUCCGCGAUGGAAAAGAAAUGAGAGGUUUUAAGAGGCGGGCUAGUGGCUUGUACUGUAGCAUAGCCUGCCUUUGCUGGUGUGUGGCAAUUAGGCCUGGUGGAACUGCCAUCAAUAAACCAAGUGUGUUCAGGGUGAGAAACAGUGAAGAAGGAAAUGUGGGGAAGUGGGGUGAAUGUCAGGUGGAUCAGAGAGAUGCAGUCAUGAGGGUCAGGUGUGGUAUCAGGAAUAAUGUGGGAGGCCGGAUUGAAGUCCGAGCCAGGAACAAUGGUAACUGUGGGAGACUCAACAAAGAGUGAGUACAGCUGAAGGAGCCGGGGAGCAGAAAGUAUAUGCAUCAGGUGUGAGGAAGAAAAUAGAUUCUGGAAAUUAUGAGAGCUGUAGAGAGUGCAUUGAGCAUAGUUUGUGAUUUUAAGGGCCUCUAAAAUAUUAGGGUGGUAGCAGCCGCUGCAUGGAGACAUGAUGGCCAGCCUAAAACAGUAAGGUCAAGUUGUUUGGACAAAAAGGCUACAGGACGCGAUCCUCAUCCUUGUGUAAGAAUUCUUACUGCACAGCCCUGCACUUCAGCUGUGUGUAAUGAAAAGGGUUAGGAUGAGUCAGGGAGAGCUAUAGUGGGGGCAGUUUCUAAAGCUGUCUUCAAGGAAUGGAAAGAGGAGUGGGGGAAAGGAUUUAGUAUCUAUGGGGUCGGCUAGGUUUCCUUUUGUGAGUUUAUAUAAUGGUUUUGUUAGGAUGGCAAAACCAGGUAUCUAAAUGUGAAAGUAUCUAACCAUACCCAGGAAGGAAAGGAGUUGUUGUUUUGUAGAAUGGAUUGGGGUUUGAGAGACUAGUUGGACACGAUCGGCAGGGAGCGCACGUGUGUUUUUAUGAGAAUUAUGCUGAGAUAGCUAACAGAUGAGGAAGAAAUUUGGGCUUGACUGAAGUAAUGGGGGCUGUCUGUGAAGCUUUGUGGCAGUACAGCCCAGGUAAUUUGCUGAGCCUGAUGGGUGUCAGGGUCAAUCCAAGUGAAAGCGAAGAUAGGCUGUGAUGAAGGGUGCAAAGGAAUAGUAAAGAAAGCAUGUUUGAGAUCCAGAACAGAAUAAUGGAUUGUGGAGGGAGGUAUUAAGGAUUGAAAGGCCAUGCUGUAGCAGGCAAGUGAUAACAGGCUUUAAUCCUUUCAAAGCAUGCUGUGGGAUGGGAUAUUGGCAUUGAGUGGGGUAAGGGUGAUUAGGCUUUAAUGAGAUGGUAAGGGGUGCAUGAUCGGUCACCAAGGAGGGAGUAGAGGUAUCUUAUACUUGUGGGUUAAGGUUGGGGGAUACAAGAGGAGGAUGCAAAGGAGGCUUUGGAUUGGGAAGAAGGGCUUCAAUGAGAUGUAGCUGUAAUCCAGGAAUAGUUAGGGAAGCAGAUAAUUUAGUUAAGGUGUCUCGGCAUAAUAAGGGAACUGGGCAGGUGCGGAUAACUAAAAGGAGUGCUUAAAAGAGUAUUGUCUAAGUUGGCACCAGAGUUGGGGAGUUUUAAGAAGUUUAGAAGCCUGGCUGUCAAUACCCACAAACAGUUAUGGAGGCAAGGGAAACAGGCCCUUGAAAAGAAGGUAAUGUGGAGUGGGUAGCCUCCGUAUUGCUUAAGAAGGGGACGGACUUACCUUCCACUGUGAGAGUUACCUGAAGCUCGGCGUCUGUGAUGGUCUAGGGGGCUUCUGAGGUGAUCAGGCAGCGUCAGUCUUUAGCUGCUAAGCCGAGAAGGUCUGGGAAGGAGUCAGUCAGAGAGCCUUGGGCCAGAGUUCCAGCAUCUCUGGGAGUGGCUGCCAGGUGAGUUGAACAGUCCGAUUUCCAGUGGGGUCCCGCACAGAUGGGACACGGCUUAGGAGGAAUCCCGGGCUGCGGGCAGAUUUCUGGCACUUGUAGCAAGCUCCUGGGGGAGGUGGUUCUGGAGGAAUGCCUGGCCAGUGCGGUUUAGGCAUUUGGAAGUUCUUGUGUGCUGGAGAUGUGGCUGGGGUUUGUCUCACAGUGGAGGAAAGGAAUUGCAACUCAGAAAUAUGUUGCUACUUGGUGCCUCUAUUAUUGUACACCUUGAAGGUGAGGUUACUUUAGUCCUGUUGUGGGGUUUGAGGGCCGGAAUUUAAUUUUUGGAUUUUUAUUUAAUGUCAGGAGCAGAUUGGGUAAUAAAAUGUGUAUUGAGAAUAAGAUGGCCUUUUGACUUUUUAGGGUCUAGGGCUGUAAAGCGUCUCAGUGUUGCUGCCAAACAAGCCAUGAACUGGGCUGGAUUUUUAUAUUUGAUGAAAAAGAGCCUAAAUGCUAUCUGAUUUGGGAUAAAGAAAAAGGAGCAUUAACCUUGACUAUGCCUUUAGCUCCAGCCGCCUUUGUAAGAAUAAAUCGCUGGGCAGGUGGGGGAGGGCUAGUCACAGAACGAAACUGUAAGCCGGACCAGGUGUGAGGAGCAGAGGUGAUAAAAGGAUUAUAGGGUGGAGGAGCGGAGGCUGAGGAAGAAUUGGAACCUAGCUUGGCCUGGCGAGGAGCAGCCUGGGGAGGAGGGGAGAGGUCAGAUGGGUCUGUAGAAAAGGAAGAUUAGAAAGACUCAGUGACGCUUGGGGUUGGGACUGAGGGGCCAGGUGGGAGGGAAAGAAGGAAGAUUUGGGAUGAGUUGCAUUGGGAACAGAGACUAGAGAGGGACCGAUGUGUAAAAGAAUGCCUGGAUGUCAGGCACCUCAGACCAUUUGCCUAUUUGACAACAAGAAUUAUUUAGAUCUUGCAGGAUGGAAAAAUUGAAAGUGCCAUUUUCUGGCUAUUUGGAACCACUGUCAAGUUUGUAUUGGGGUCAAGCUGCAUUGCAGAAGAAAAUAAGGCAUUUAGGUUUUAGGUCAGGUGUGAGUUGAAGAGGUUUUAAGUUCUUGAGAGCACAGGCUAAGGGAGACGGAGGACUGGAGGGUGGAAGAUUGCCCAUAGUGAAGGAGGCAAGCCUAGAGAAAAGAGAAAGUAGAGACACGGAGGGAAGGGGUUCAGGGGUUUCUUACCUUCCAGAAAAGUGGGAAAGGGGUCAAGGCAUGGAAAUAAGGGGUUGGGGUGCAGAGAUAAGAGGUCAGGGUGCAGAAAUAAGGGAUUGGAGCGCAGAGAUAAGAGGUCGGGGCAUGGAAAUAAGGGAUUGGGGCACAGAGAUAAGAGGUCGGGGCAUGGAAAUAAGGGAUUGGGGGUUCUUUCCUCCAAGAAAAGCGGGACUUGCCACUAAGGGUGAAGGAGAAGGGGUUGGUGUACUUGCCCCUCCCCCAGAAAAGCGGGACUUGAUGCUAAGGGUGAAGGACCACGGCAGGCAUCCCCACGUGGUCUGACACCUCUGAAACCUGGUUGAAUAAUCAGAGAGGCAUCCCUGCAAUGAUUAAACACCAAGGGAAGGCUGCCUUCCCUAGUCCAUCACUGAUGCUGGAGUUUUGGGUCCACGGAUAAAACGUGUCUCCUUUGUCUCUUACCAGAAAAUGAAAGGAAUUGAAAUUAAGAGAAGGGGGAGAUUGAAGUGUGGCACCAAGAUUGAAAGGAGAAAGACGUUGAGGGAUAGUGAGGGAGGUUGGAGAAGAGAGUAAAAAGAGGCCGCUUACUGGAUUUGAAAUUGGUGAGAUGUUUCUUGGGCUGGUCGGUCGGAGGACCUGAGGUCGUAGGUGGACUUUUCUCACGGAGCAAAGAGCAGGAGGACAGGGGAUUGAUCUCCUAAUGCAGGUCGCCCAUCCGAGUCACGGCACCAAAUUUCAUGUGCAUCCGUGUGAAGAGACUGCCAAACGGGCUUUGUGUGAGCAAUAAAUCUUUUAAACACCUGGGUGCAGGCGGGCUGAGUCCGAAAAGAGAGUCAAUGAAGGGAGAUAGGGGUGGGGCCAUUUUAUAGGAUUUGGGUAGGUAAAGGAAAAAGGGGGGUUGUUCUCUGGUGGGCAGGAAUGGGGGUCACAAGGUACUCAGUGGGGGAGCUUUUGAGCCAGGAUGAGCCAGCAGAAGGAAUUCACAAGACAGUGUCAUCAGUUAAGGCAGGAACAGGCAUUUUCACUUCUUUUGUGGUGGAAUGUCAUCAGUUAAGGCAGGAACCGGCCAUCUGGAUGUGUACCUGCAGGUCACAGGGGAUAUGAUGGCUUAGCUUAGGCUCAGAGGCCUGACAGCAGUCAUGCUCUUCAUUCAUGUAUUGUCUAUGGCUGCUUUGCAUUACAACAGUAGAGAAGUUCAGUUGUUUUGAAAGAGAAUGCAUGUAUGUGGCACUCUUAUUGCUUCAUGCUAAUGCUUGGUACUCUAAAAAUUGUGUUAAUAUAGUUAAAACUCUGUAGCAUUCCAAAUUCCACGUCGCUAUAACACAACACUUAAUGUAUAUUUUAUUACUAGUACACAACCAUAAAUUUAAAACAAAAAGAAGAAAAAUGACUUUAAAUGUUGCAUAUUUAAGGCACAGUUGAGUAUGAAUUAUUUUGUACUGAAUUUGAUAGCAAAUUGCCCAACGAUGAUAUAUCUAUUCUUAAAAAAAUUAUAUUGACAUUAACAAACUAAGCAUUGUUCACAAUAUUUCCUACUCACAGAAAUGCAAUGUUUAGAAAAACUAGAAAAUUUAAAACAGCGUAUCUCAUCACAGUAGAAUUUCUUCACAAAAAUAACAAAUGAGACUGAGGCUACAACCAUAAUAAAAUUUCAAAUGUCCCAUUUUUUAGCCAAGCAAGAAAAGCCAUUUACCAAUGGUGAGUUAUUUAAAUCAUGUUAGAUUUGAGCAGCUGAAGAAAUGUGUUUAGAGAAAACAAACUUGUUUAAUAUGAUUAGCCUUUUAGCCAGAACAGUUACUUGAUGAGUUAAGGACACUGGG